CCGUGCCAGCAGCCGCGGUAAUACGAAGGGACCUAGCGUAGUUUGGAAUCACUGGGCUUAAAGAGUCCGUAGGUGGAUAAAAAAGUUGGAGGUGAAAUCCCGCAGGCUUAACUCUGAAAUUGCCAUCGAAACUUAUUAGCUUGAGUUAUAUCGAGGAAAGCAGAAUUUGUAGUGUAGAGGGGAAAUUCGUAGAUAUUUCAUAGAAUCCCCAUUGGGAAGGCAGCUUUCUGGAACCCUACUUACCCUGCGGAACGAAAGCGUGGGUAGCGAAACAGGAUUAGAUAUCCCCGCGUAUGUUCACUAGCCGUAAAUCGAAGGGUGAUAGAGCGUGGGGACUUAUGUUACAGUGUCUCAGCGAAACGCGAUAAG
rnacentral:rRNA from 1 species